rnacentral:lncRNA from 1 species
AUUCCAAAGACUUGUUUUAUUUAGUAAGCUGGGGGUGAGAAACAGAAGCUCAUGUGUUUUCAGGUCCACCCAGAAAUAAGCUCUAGUAAAAGAGAGGAAAGAAUUCCUUGUGUGUGCCUUGGGUGCUUAUUAAGUUAGGGAAGAGGGCCAGUGGGUAAGAUGGCCAUCACUUCCGUAUCCUUUUCCAGACUCAUGUAGCAACUGUAAGGAGGUGAGAAGACUUGUAGGCUUGAUGAAUUCCUCAGUGGAAAAGCCCCAGUACACAGUGGGCAGGUAAAAUGCCUGCCCCGCGUGAAUAAGGCUCUGAGUUCUGUGCCCAGUGCUGCAUAAAAGCUCCAUUUAAAAUUAACUAGUGUUUUAGACAGCAUAGACCCUCAUGCUGCAGAAGGCAUGUCGGAAGGCCCACCAGCUGAGUUCUCCACCACGAAGAGCCUGGAGGCCAUGGGUUUAAGGGAAAACAAAGAAGGUUGUGGAAAGCAACAAAGGACAUUGGAGCCUGCAGAUGGGACUAAAAGGUAAAGAGGCAAAAAGAAAGCGGUGAGGAGGAGAAAGGAGGGUCAGGUGACAUUAAAUGACCAGGUUGAACUCUGAAGAAGAUGGAUACUGCCACCAAGGACAACUAUAAGAAACCUCAAGGCAAGGACUAAGUGAUAAAUUGUUUUUC